rnacentral:rRNA from 1 species
GUAGGGCGCAAGCGUUAUCCGGAAUUAUUGGGCGUAAAGAGCUCGUAGGCGGUUUGUCGCGUCUGCCGUGAAAGUCCGGGGCUCAACUCCGGAUCUGCGGUGGGUACGGGCAGACUAGGGUGAUGUAGGGGAGACUGGAAUUCCUGGUGUAGCGGUGAAAUGCGCAGAUAUCAGGAGGAGCACCGAUGGCGAAGGCAGGUCUCUGGGCGUUAACUGACGCUGAGGAGCGAAAGCAUGGGGGGGAGCGAACAGGAUUAGAUACCCUGGUAGUCCAUGCCCGUAAACGUUGGGCACUAGGUGUGGGGGACAUUCCCACGUUUUCCGCGCCGUAGCUAACGCAUUAAGUGCCCCCGCCUGGGAGUACGGCCGCAAGGCUA